CCGGCAGUAGGAAAAGUCUCUUAGUUCUUUAAAUUCAAGGUUGGCUCGUCGUUACUAGAGUCUUUUGUUGGAUUAUCUUGAAUGUUCCUUAAUUUGCAUAUUUCCCGGGAAUGCUACCCGACGCCAUUUUGGGGAGCAGCGGAGGCAACACCCGACGCAUACAACAAGGGUACAGGAGUGGGAAGAGGGAAGCACCGAUGGAGAUCCAGGCUCCUGCUGGAAUUCUAUCCACAAAUUGAUCAGCAAAAGAAGGAUCAGCAGCAUCCAGAUGGAAAACACGGCUCUGCCUGGCUUGGAGUUCCUGCCCCAGAGCUUCCAGAUCCCACAGACUUAUCUGGAUUAGGAGCUCCCAAUGCCAUUUAUUUCCAGCCAGUCCUGGAUCCAAAGGCUCAGCUUUUCCCUUGAAAUCUUAAGGAUCUGGGCUGUUCUCAUCCACCUGUGCCAAGAAUCCAACUUGGAGGGGUGUAUCCGAGGUUAUGGAUAGUUUGGCAGCAGUAUCCCAAAAUUCUGCAGCAAUUCCACCGGAUAAUUCUAGACUGGAUCCAUGACUGGCUUGAAAAGAGGGAGCCAGUGAGGGAAGGGAGGAAAGAGGGAAAUAAACCCUUUGGAAAACAGGAGGAUUGCUGAGAGCACUUCCAAUCAUUUUCCCUGGGAAGAAUCUCUGUCCAUUUGUCAAGCACAGGAGAAAAUUCAGGGAGACAGAAAUAAAGAUUGAAAUAUGUCACCAAUGAG